CCGAAGAGUAGAAGCGGUCAGGGAGGUUACCCGGGACAUUGCUCAGACG
rnacentral:ncRNA from 1 species